GUGGGGAAUAUUGGACAAUGGGCGAAAGCCUGAUCCAGCCAUGCCGCGUGUGUGAAGAAGGUCUUCGGAUUGUAAAGCACUUUAAGUUGGGAGGAAGGGCAGUAAGUUAAUACCUUGCUGUUUUGACGUUACCGACAGAAUAAGCACCGGCUAACUUCGUGCCAGCAGCCGCGGUAAUACGAAGGGUGCAAGUGUUAAUCGGAAUUACUGGGCGUAAAGCGCGCGUAGGUGGUUUUGUAAGUUGGAGGUGAAAUCCCCGGGCUCAACCUGGGAACUGCCUCCAAAACUGCAUGACUAGAGUACGGUAGAGGGUAGUGGAAUUUCCUGUGUAGCGGUGAAAUGCGUAGAUAUAGGAAGGAACACCAGUGGCGAAGGCGACUACCUGGACUGAUACUGACACUGAGGUGCGAAAGCGUGGGGAGCAAACAGGAUUAGAUACCCGUGUAGUCC
rnacentral:rRNA from 1 species